rnacentral:rRNA from 1 species
GGUUUGAUUAUGGCUCAGAUUGAACACUGGCGGGAUGCUUUACACAUGCAAGUCGAACGGCAGCACGGACUUCGGUCUGGUGGCGAGUGGCAGACGGGUGAGUAAUGUAACGGAACGUGCCUAGUAGCGGGGGAUAACUACGCGAAAGCGUAAUAAUACCACAUACGCCCUUCGGGGGAAAGCGAGACCUUCGGGCCUCGCACUAUUAGAGCGGCCGAUAUCGGAUUAGCUAGUUGGUGGGGUAACGGCUCGCAAGGCGACGAUCCGUAGCUGGUUUGAGAGGACGACCAGCCACACUGGGACUGAGACACGGCCCAGACUCCUGCAGGGAGGCAGCAGUGGGGAAUUUUGGACAAUGGGGGAAACCCUGAUCCAGCCAUCCCGCGUGUGCGAUGAAGGCCUUCGGGUUGUAAAGCGCGUUGGCAGGAAAGAAACGGCACGGGAUAAUACCCCGUGCAACUGACGGUACCUGCAGAAUAAGCACCGGCUAACUACGUGCCAGCAGCCGCGGUAAUACGUAGGGUGCAAGCGUUAAUCGGAAUUACUGGGCGUAAAGCGUGCGCAGGCGGUUCGGAAAGAAAGAUGUGAAAUCCCAGAGCUUAACUUUGGAACUGCAUUUUAACUACCGAGCUAGAGUGUGUCAGAGGGAGGUGGAAUUCCGCGUGUAGCAGUGAAAUGCGUAGAUAUGCGGAGGAACACCGAUGGCGAAGGCAACCUCCUGGGAUAACACUGACGCUCAUGCACGAAAGCCAGGGAGCAAACAGUUAGAUACCCUGGUAGUCCACGCCCUAAACGAUGUCAACUAGCUGUUGGGGCCUUCGGGCCUUGGUAGCGCAGCUAACGCGUGAAGUUGACCGCCUGGGAAGUACGGUCGCAAGAUUAAAACUCAAAGAAAUGACGGGGACCCGCACAAGCGGUGGAUGAUGUGGAUUAAUUCGAUGCAACGCGAAAAACCUUACCUACCCUUGACAUGUCUGGAAUCCCGAAGAGAUUUGGGAGUGCUCGCAAGAGAACCGGAACACAGGUGCUGCAUAAUGUCGUCAGCUCGUGUCGUGAAUGUUGGGUUAAGUCCCGCAACGAGCGCAACCCUUGUCAUUAGUUGCUACGAAAGGGCACUCUAAUGAGACUGCCGGUGACAAACCGGAGGAAGGUGGGGAUGACGUCAAGUCCUCGCGGCCCUUAUGGGUAGGGCUUCACACGUCAUACAAUGGUCGGGACAGAGGGUCGCCAACCCGCGAGGGGGAGCCAAUCCCAGAAACCCGAUCGUAGUCCGGAUCGCAGUCUGCAACUCGACUGCGUGAAGUCGGAGGAAUCGCUAGUAAUCGCGGAUCAGCAUGUCGCGGUGAAUACGUUCCCGAGGGUCUUAAACCGCCGUCCUGGGUGCACCAAGUAGUUAGCCUAACCAUAAGGAGGGCGAUUACCACAGUAGGAUUCAUGACUGGGGUGAAGUCGUAACAAGGUAA